rnacentral:misc_RNA from 1 species
GAUGAAGAACGUAGCGAAACGCGAUAAGUAAUGUGAAUUGCAGAAUCCAGUGAAUCAUCGAAUCUUUGAACGCACAUUGCGCCCGCCAGCAUUCUGGCGGGCAUGCCUGUUCGAGCGUCAUUUCAACCCUCGACCUCCCCUUGGGGAGGUCGGCGUUGGGGACCGGCAGCACACCGCCGGCCCUGAAAUGGAGUGGCGGCCCGUCCGCGGCGACCUCUGCGCAAUAAUACAGCUCGCACCGGGACCCCGACGCGGCCACGCCGUAAAACACCCAACUUCUGAACGUUGACCUCGAAUCAGGUAGGACUACCCGCUGAACUUAAGCAUAUCAAUAAGCGGAGGA